rnacentral:rRNA from 1 species
GACGAACGCUGGCGGCGUGCUUAACACAUGCAAGUCGAGCGGUAAGGCCUUUCGGGGUACCCGAGCGGCGAACGGGUGAGUAACACGUGGGUGAUCUGCCCUGCACUUCGGGAUAAGCCUGGGAAACUGGGUCUAAUACCGGAUAUGACCUCCUAUCGCAUGGUGGGUGGUGGAAAGAUUUAUCGGUGCAGGAUGGGCCCGCGGCCUAUCAGCUUGUUGGUGGGGUAAUGGCCCACCAAGGCGACGACGGGUAGCCGACCUGAGAGGGUGACCGGCCACACUGGGACUGAGACACGGCCCAGACUCCUACGGGAGGCAGCAGUGGGGAAUAUUGCACAAUGGGCGAAAGCCUGAUGCAGCGACGCCGCGUGAGGGAUGACGGCCUUCGGGUUGUAAACCUCUUUCAGCAGGGACGAAGCGCAAGUGACGGUACCUGCAGAAGAAGCACCGGCUAACUACGUG